ACACAAAGGACUUGGAAGAUGUCCAAACCAUGGAGGAAACUAGAGAAGGGAGACCAAGCUCUGAACAGAAACUUUAACCACCAGAACAGUUCAACACUGUAUUACAAAGAUGUAGGAUUACAUGACCAAAACUGUUUAGCAUCAAAAAAGAUUGCUGGACAAGGUGGCUCAUUUACCCCUAAUGGUUUCCCUCCUUCAGGAUCUUGUUUAUCCGCUGGACAGGAUAGAGAACAAAAUGACCGGCCGUCUGAUGCGAAUCAGAAUCCAAUUGGUUCAGGCCGUGACAAAGUUACUCCUAGUGUUGCCAGGGGGAGACCUGUGCAUUUUUUAGUGAAGCUUCGAUUGAAGUACCAAUUACAUGUGAAAUCAAUUGCACUAACACUGGCUCUGAAAACAGUUCAAAGCGCAGUGUAGCAGGCAAGAUAAGUGAUGCCACGGAGAAGCAACCGGCAAGGAAACUAACCAGAAUUUUCAUGGUAUUAGAUUUUAUAGAUGUAAAAGAUGUUGGGUGCCUACUUAUUAGGCACAUAUGCAAACUUAUUUUUCAAAAUGUGAUGAAAACUUCCAAUU